CAAAAACAUAGCCAGAUGAAACGAUGUUUGGUGCCUUCUGCUCCAUGGUUAACUAAAUAGCCGCAGUACCUUGACUGUGCUAAGGUAGCAUAAUCAAUUGGCUUAUAAUUGAAGUCUGGAAUGAAAGAAGACAUGGAUAGUCUCUGUCUCUUAACUUUAAACUGAAUUUACUAAUUAGGUGAAAAGUCCUAUAAAUAACUAAUAGACGAGAAGACCCUUGAAAUUUUUUACAUAACAGUAUAGAUACUUCAUAAUUUUGUUGGGGCGACAGGAUAACAAAUAACUUGUCUUGUAUAUAUUAGCAUUUUAUUUAAGGAAAAAAUAAAUUACUCGAGGGAUAACAGCAUAAUGUGUUUAAAGUUUGUGACCUCGAUGUUGGACUAGGGUCUCUUAAGGCCAGAAGCUUUAAGAUUAGGCUCUGUUCGAGCUUGUAUUCCUACGUGAUCUG
rnacentral:rRNA from 1 species